UACGGAGGGGGCUAGCGUUAUUCGGAAUUAUUGGGCGUAAAGGGCGUGUAGGCGGCUUCGUAAGUCUUGUGUGAAAGCCCUCGGCUCAACCGAGGAAUUGCACGAGAAACUGCGUGGCUCGAGUCCGGGAGAGGAUAGUGGAAUUCCCAGUGUAGCGGUGAAAUGCGUAGAGAUUGGGAAGAACAUCGGUGGCGAAAGCGCUCUACUGGACCUCAUCUGACACUCAGGGACGAAAGCUAGGGGAGCGAAUGGG
rnacentral:rRNA from 1 species